AGUGAACGCUGGCGGUAGGCCUAACACAUGCAAGUCGAACGGCAGCACAGUAAGAGCUUGCUCUUACGGGUGGCGAGUGGCGGACGGGUGAGGAAUACAUCGGAAUCUACUUUUUCGUGGGGGAUAACGUAGGGGAACUUACGCUAAUACCGCAUACGACCUACGGGUGAAAGCAGGGGAUCUUCGGACCUUGCGCGAUUGAAUGAGCCGAUGUCGGAUUAGCUAGUUGGCGGGGUAAAGGCCCACCAAGGCGACGAUCCGUAGCUGGUCUGAGAGGAUGAUCAGCCACACUGGAACUGAGACACGGUCCAGACUCCUACGGGAGGCAGCAGUGGGGAAUAUUGGACAAUGGGCGCAAGCCUGAUCCAGCCAUGCCGCGUGGGUGAAGAAGGCCUUCGGGUUGUAAAGCCCUUUUGUUGGGAAAGAAAAGCAGCAGGUUAAUACCCCGCUGUUCUGACGGUACCCAAAGAAUAAGCACCGGCUAACUUCGUG
rnacentral:rRNA from 1 species